GCCGGAGGAACGCAACAACAGUGUUGGAAGCACAUUCUUGGACUUCAAAAGGGUGGCCAGGUCAUUAUUGUAGCGCAAUUUCGUUUUGUAUUGUAGUGGGGUAAAACUUUAGGACACUUGUAGGUCAUUUUGUAGGUUAGGUCCAUAGGAGGACACUUGUCACCACCUAGGGUUUUUGGGUGGACCCCACCCAUCCUUUAAAAAGGGCACACAACCCUAGAGAGAGAGAUUCCAGCAGCCGCCACUCAUUUUGGAGGAGGCAAGUUUCUUUUGAGAGCACAUAGCCAUGGGAUGCAGAGAAAAUGGAUGGUGAUGUCAAGUAGGAUUUAGGAUUUAAUUUUCUUGUAGAAGAGCAGCCCAAAAGCAAGCGUUUACUUUCAGCUGCACGGUGCAUUUAUGUUUCUAUAGAGUAAUGAAACAGUGAUUACAUUUCUUUCAAGUAGAAGUUUUGUUUUUUCUUUUUAAUUUUAGAAGCUGCAUACGCUGGUGUUUGAUUUCUUUAAAGGGCAUUCAUAUUUUUCUUUUAGAAAGUGAUGAUAUACUUUAGCUUUGGAAGUUGCUGCAAGGUGCAUUUCGAUUUUAGCUUAAGGUGUUGCAUUAAAUAGCAUUGGAUGUAUUUUCUAUUUACUUAUUGAAUUUAAAUUAUUCAUGGAAUUGCAAUUUUAUUUCCUCUCGCCGCAUUUGCUUUCCAAGGUUGACACGCUACCUAUUUGAACCUUGCUUUUGCUGUUUAUAAAUUUGGUUAAUAUGUGUUUGAAUUGGAUUCAAGCACUUUUGCAUUUAGUUUCAUUUCAGUUGCACGGUGUUUUAGAUGUUUUGAUUUAUUUUUAUGUUGUUUGUUCUGUUCCAUUGUGUUAAUUUAAUUGUCAUGUUAGCUUAGGUGAGUCGGGUUGGUCAUUAGCGAUAUUGCAUUGUUUCCUUGAGAUACUUGGAUUGUGAUUGUGUUUGCCACUCUGACUUGGUUAAUGUGAAAUCUAUCAUUGCACUUGCAAUUGGGUAUACGCUUAGUUGCCCAGUUGGUGUUUAGUCUUCGCUUAGUUGAUGAAACUGCAUUGUGCAAUUUGGAUUACAUGUUAACAUUGUGUUCGCUUAGUUCACUUUUAUGAAAACAUAAUUAGCCUUCGCUUAGUUGGUUAACUAUGUUGGAUUAGAGGUUAGAGUAGCUCCUUUAUUGUGUUGAUCUGGGAUAGGAAGCAUAAUAAUUAGUUAAUGACCAACCAUUUUUAUUCUGUAGUUGAUUUCGUUUUUACAUUUCUGUUUUCGCGUAUGUUUACAUAUGUGUUUACAUUUCUGUUUGCAUCUGUGUUUCAAUUUAAUUCAUCUGCAUUCACACACCUUUCAACCACCCCCCCACUUCGUGUCUGACCUAAUCUGAACCACAUUUGGUCCUUGAGAGACGACCUAGGAGUCACUUCCUAGUCUAUACUGCAUUUCUCAUAUGCAAUCAAAUUUGUAUGGGUCGCGACACCCAUCAAAUUUUGGCGCUGUUGCUGGGGACCAACGGUUCGGUUUUAGGUCUUUUGUUGUGUUAGUGUGUGUUGUGUUUUGUCUUGUGUUGUGAGUGUGAUGUUCUGUUUUGUGUGUUCGUCAUUGUGUGUUGCAUUUAGGUAGCUUUAGUUGCAUAUUUUCAUUGCAUUCUUCUUUUCCCCCUUCUUUCCGAUGUCUACCUAUUUUGGUUAUGUGGAUACUGUUUCUUCUGCCUGUGCCUAUGAUUAUCAUUCUCCUGUUGAGAACAGUAAGGUUCCUCCUCCAUCUCAUGAGAGUGCUCCUAGGGAGCCGUUUCCACUUGAUGAGGAGGACAUUCGUUGUGUUUUCAACACUGGACUGAUACAUGUGCUACCUAGGUUUCAUGGUUUUGCAGGUG
rnacentral:lncRNA from 1 species